rnacentral:rRNA from 1 species
ACGUAGGUGGCAAGCGUUGUCCGGAUUUACUGGGUGUAAAGGGCGAGUAGGCGGGAUUGCAAGUCAGAUGUGAAAUCUAUCGGCUUAACUGAUAGCGUGCAUUUGAAACUGCGGUUCUUGAGUGAUGGAGAGGCAGGCGGAAUUCCUAGUGUAGCGGUGAAAUGCGUAGAUAUUAGGAGGAACACCAGUGGCGAAGGCGGCCUGCUGGACAUUAACUGACGCUGAGGCGCGAAAGCGUGGGGAGCAAACAG